rnacentral:misc_RNA from 1 species
UGGUUCUGGCAUCGAUGAAGAACGCAGCGAAAUGCGAUAAGUAAUGUGAAUUGCAGAAUUCAGUGAAUCAUCGAAUCUUUGAACGCACAUUGCGCCCACUAGUAUUCUAGUGGGCAUGCCUGUUCGAGCGUCAUUUCAACCCUCAAGUCCGCUGUGGCUUGGUGUUGGGGCUAUCUACAGCGAAUGUAGGCCCUGAAAUACAGUGGCGGACUCACCAAACCUCUGAGCGCAGUAAUUCUGUUUCUCGCUUUGGGGGGCUUGGUGGGCUUCUAGCCAGUAAACCCUUCUAUAUUAUAGUAGAUUGACCUCGAAUCAGGUAGGAAUACCCGCUGA